GGCUCAGUCUGUUUUUGUAAACGGGCGUUAAAUGGUCGUUGAGCGGCGGAAGUGCGUCGGCUGGUUUCUUUCUACUUUAUUUUUGUUGGUUGUGGGCAGUUCACCAGUGAAUUUGUUUUGCAAGCAAAUUUCAAAGGCAUACACGGUCGGCUUGAGUUUUCAGCAGCAAAAUUAUAUAGUGAAACAGCACAAAAUGCUUUAAUACACACAAAACAAAACAAAAAAAAAAAAAGAUUUUUACGAAAGAAAGACAUUUGAGUAACAAGUUACUAAGAAAAAUAAAUAAAUUCAAUAAAAAAUCGCAAUUCAUCGAAAACUCCUACGCGUUAGUGAUGCCUCGAGUGCAAUUUGUUUUCGUUUCCAACUAUUAAAAAAAAAAAAAACAAUUAGCGAUUGGUUUCCGUCGCUUGUUGCUGAACCAUUGCCUCUGUGCUUGUUUGUAGUCGUUUGUGUGUGUAUGUGCGCGCGUACGUGAGUCGAUCAGCUGUGGCUUGUGGCGUAAAAUGCCGCUGUUGGCCACCACAUUAUUAUGAUGGAGACAUUCAUUGUCCUUGGGCUAUGUUUCAUUCUAUACGAAGCACUGGAUUUCUUUCAAGGAUGCAUGCAUAGUACAUCACCCAAUUCAACCGAUCAAAUCGAAGCCUAUCGCCGCCAACUGGACGAGCAGCGACAGCAGCAGCAACAAGAGCAGUUCAUCGCCAAUUUAACGCCGCUCUUGGGCGCCCAACUGUUGGCUGCCACCUCCAACAUUUCACUCUCGCCCAGCGAAUCCUCAGCGAGCAUCAUAAGUGAACAGCUGCGCGCACAACAACAACGCGAACAGCUCGAACAACUACGUAGCAGCAGUAGCGUGCGCAGUGAACAUAGCAAUAGCGAUAACUCAGCUAGCACGCCAGCGCUCCACAGCAGCGGUUUGGGUAGCACUUUUGGUUCAGCGGCUGGUAGUGGCAGCUUAAGCGCGGCUAGCGCAAGCGUUGGUAGUGUUGGCAGCAGUGGUGGUGCUGCCUUUCGGCCCGCCUAUCGCAGCGUCUACGAGUCGCAAGAGUUGUACGCCACCUCAUCGCUGCCGCGCGACUACUACUUCCUGCAACAGCAGCAGCAGAAGAACAAACAUUCGGCGCGUUCACUUUUCUCGAAAUUUGGUGCCUCCAAUUCGGAUAAUCGCAUUUUUCCCGAAACAGCUUCGGUGCUGGGCGUGCCUGCGGGUGUGAUUACCCAACAGCCAGCCGCGAGCGUAAAUCACUUUGAUUGCUUGCCGCCCACGGCGACACCUGCUUCGCCUCUGGCAGUAGACUUGAAGCGCGCCAUAUUGAGUAAGAAUAAUUAUAAUAGCAAAAACAAAAACAAUAACUACGCAACAAACAACGAAAAGAAACGUACAGGGGGUGUGGAAAGUGUGCAGGUGCAUGGUUUGGCGGUAAUAGCCAGUCCAUCGCGUGAUCCACCCAACCCUGCACGUGCUAUCGAACGAGAGAAGCCACGAAAUCGUAUCGCCUCAGCUGCCAACGUUACGACGAGCGCGUUACGUAGGCACGAAAGUGACGCCAGUUCAUCGGAUUGUGAAUCGGACUCGAGUGGUGAGUCAACUGACUCCUCGGCAUCCGCGUCGGCCGGUUCCGCGUCGCUAGCCUCGUGCGGUGAGGACAGUGAUCCUGGGCUAGGCGAAGAACGUGAAUUCGGUCUAUCAAAUUCGUGUUCGUCGUCGCAUGCGGACUUUCGGGAAAUCGAAUGUGAACGUUUGAGACGCAAGUGCGUGAGUGUGAAACGCAUCUACAGUAUAUCGGAGAAGUUUUGAAGUCAAAGUGAGAGAAAUGUGUCACGAAACGGUAAAUGACUGCUUUAGAGCAAAGAGUUUGAAGUUGUAAAAAAAGUACCGAUUAGAAAUAUAAGCCCAAACAAAAAUACAAAUAUCAUGGUAUGUAGCACUCGAGUGAAAUGUAACAUUUUUAUA